UUGGGAAUAUUGGACAAUGGGGGAAACCCUGAUCCAGCAAUGCCGCGUGGGUGAUGAAGGCCUUCGGGUUGUAAAGCCCUUUUGGCGGGGACGAUGAUGACGGUACCCGCAGAAUAAGCCCCGGCUAACUUCGUGCCAGCAGCCGCGGUAAUACGAAGGGGGCUAGCGUUGUUCGGAAUUACUGGGCGUAAAGGGCGCGUAGGCGGCCGUGCAAGUCAGAUGUGAAAGCCCUGGGCUCAACCCAGGAGGUGCAUUUGAUACUGCAUGGCUAGAGUGUCGGAGAGGAUGGUGGAAUUCCCAGUGUAGAGGUGAAAUUCGUAGAUAUUGAGAAGAACACCGGUGGCGAAGGCGACCAUCUGGACGACAACUGACGCUGAGGCGCGAAAGCGUGGGGAGCAAACAGGAUUAGAUACCCUGGUAGUCCACGCCGUAAACUAUGCGUGUUGGACGUUGGCGAGCCUAGCUCGUCGGUGUCGCAGCUAACGCGUUAAACACGCCGCCUGGGGAGUACGGCCGCAAGGUUA
rnacentral:rRNA from 1 species